CAAGUGCGCGGAUUUUGAACAGUUGAUAAAUUAAAAUUAAACAAUUGACCGUAAUUUUUAUAACAACCACAUUAUCCGAAUAGUUGGCCGAAUAGAGAUUACUGAAGCAAAUUCGAACACACGCAAAAAUGAGUGUUGACAGUCCAGAAAACGAGUGGGAGCUGAGCAAAGAAAAUGUCCAGCCGCUCAGACAAGGCCGAAAAAUUUCGAGUUUGAAUGCUGGAUUGAAAGUUAAUUCAGGCGAUCAAAUAUCGAGGAUAAAGGAAGAAAAACAUGUGUUUGAGGCCGAGCUUAGAACAUAUUCUGGAGAUGAUCCAAUUGAAGUUUGGUACAGAUAUAUUCUGUGGGCAGAGCAGUCAUUUCCCAAAGGAGGACGAGAUUCAAAUCUGACAACAAUAUUGGAGAGAUGUGUGAGACAGUUUAAAGACGUGGAAAACUAUAGAAAUGAUGAAAGAUACAUUUAUGCCUGGAUGAAAAUGGCAGAUGUAUGUAAUGAUCCUCUGGAGAUUUACAACUUUAUGUAUGAUCAGAAUAUUGGCUGUGAUCUUAGCUGUUUCUAUGAAGGUUGGGCGUGCCUGUUGGAACAGCUGGGUAACUACAAGAAGGCAGAUUCUGUAUACCAGAAUGGCCUGCGUAGAAAUGCCAAACCUUAUGAAAACUUGAAACACAGGCAUGAGGACUUUCAGAAACGUGUUGCUCGUAAAAUGGUAAAUGGUGGAGAAGAUUCCAUGGAUGGUUCCCAGGAGUCUGAAGGCCAGCAUAGACAGGUACUGUCACAACUGAGAACCAUGGGAAAACGAAAGCAGGCACCAGUUAGUAGAACAGGCAGUGCAAUACGUGGAAGUGCAGGUGUUCUGAGUGGGGCCCGGCCAAAGAUUGUGCCCCAGGUGAGUUCAGGUGAGAUACAGAUAUUCUGUGAUGAAAACCAGGAUCCUGCCAGUCUGCCCCCACAGACCGGCCAGUGGACAACAGUUCCUAAACGAGAUGUGACGAACAAAGAGAACGAAAAAAAGGCGGGAGUUUGGACAAAACAAAAGAUGGGCAAGCCAUCAGUGAGUGUUCCAAUCUCGGCUGUAAAUUCGUAUAAACAGCCAUCCUUCUCUGUUCAUGUUGACGAGAACAGUGAUCAAAACAUGAGGACGCCAGCAAAGUUGCCAGAAAUUGGAAAUCAGGUCCUCAGUUCUAGAAAAGAAGAUAAGACUACAACCAGCAGUUAUCUACGUACAAUGACCUCAACACAAGACAAAAGUGAACGACCAAUGUAUUGCAAGGAUAAGAUCUACUGUGGUGCUGAAGAGUACUCAUUCGAGGAACUGAGAGCAAUACGCUGGAUGAAGAGGAAGGAAAGAGAGGAGGAAGAAAGGGCUGUAGAAGAGGUGCGUGCCAAGUUGCAGCAAGAGCGUCAGCAGUUACUGGACGAAGCUGAGAGAGUUAAACAGCAACGAUUGCAACUGCAGAAUGAGGAGAAAGCUAUGUUAGAGGAAGCUCGGAGAAAGCGGCAAGAAAUCCAACAACAAAUGGAGAGAAACAGGCAGGCAGAGAUACAGCGGCACCAGGAAAUGUUGGAGAAAGACAUCCAGAGUCGACUACAGGAACAGAAUGUACGGUCCCAGGAACUUGCAUCUGCAUCAAAGUCUCAACUGUCAGCACGUCAGUUGUUGUUUGAAGAUGGUUGCCAUGGAAACACAGAGAAUAUACCUCCACAGAUGAUGGCCCAGCUCCAGGCUUCCAGUACCAAACGUCCUCUGCAACAGCAGCAACAGUGUUUAGCAGCUGGGAACCAGAGUCUAAACUCUAGCAGUAGAACACCAAAUUCAUUUGCCAGCAUAAGCCAGCCCCAGUCAGCAGAGAGCUUUGAUAGGACAAUGAGUGGAGCACCGUCCCCUACAGUAAAUACUAAGGAAGCUAUGAGACUGGUGAUGGGAAUGUUUAAUGCUUCACUAGAACUUGAUAAACCUGCUCCAUCAGAGGAUAUACAGAUGAUUGAGCCAGAACAACCUGUCCAGCCUGCAGGGUCUGGAACUGCUGGAAGUGGCCUACCUUUCAUGAUAUAUGAUGAGUCCCAGGAACAAAAGAAAGCACCGCCUAAACCUUUUGCUGCUCCAUUCACAGUAUUUCAAGAUGAAAACAACAGUAUUCCUUCAAACAACACAUCCACAAGAAACACCAGCAUAAAGCCUACGUUUCAUCAGCAGUCUCGAAGUACCACUUCAGAAAAUAUACGGGAACCAGCUACACGAUCUUUGCAACAUGUUACGAUUGAAAGACUUGAAGAAGUAGUUGAAGAGUAUUUCUCUGAUUCAUCAACCAUAUCAGAUUCGGAUUCAACAACACGAGUGCUAUUUAGUUACUCUAGUAGCUAUUCUAAAGGGAAGCCAAUGUUUGAAGACGACAAUUUCGAGGGUAUUGAGUCACAUCCUAGAGAUGAUAUUACACUGGCACCUGUUGGUUCUCACCUGAGCUUUGCUGCAGCAGCCAAAUUUGCCUCAACACCUUUCAACCCCAACUCUUCAGGUGGAGCUCGUAACAGUCCAAGCCUUGAUGUGAGUGACAUUGAGAUGCACGAAGAUAACAAACAUGAACCAGCAGCACCAGCAGGACCGGAAACCAAUACUGAAGACAUGGAACACCAGGAGAGUAAAGAUCAGACAGCCAGUAAUUCGUCUUCUAACUCAUUCAGAAAAAAUCUCAGCCCAAUAAUGGAGGGUUCAUCUGAAGAUUCUAGUGCAAACAGCAAAUCGAGUAAACUCCACCAUACAACAAUGGAAUCACACCACGUGCUAUCAAAAGUUAAACUUACACCUGUCAUGGACCAGUCAGAGGACACUAUGAGUCUUCUACAAGCUGUAGAUGAUGAGAACCAGUCUAUGCACGUGAUCGACACAUCCGCUUACAUUCCACCAGAUUUGGAUGAGAAAACAGAACAGCUCAUGUCAAUGUCCAUAUGCAUCGUGGAUCCAAAAGAUCCGUUUGAUAGGGAAGAUAGGGAGAAAAUGUUGUCCCACCUGAAAACUCCACUACAUCACUUUGACACCUAUAACAAGUUAGAUGAACACAUGCCUAGUGUUAGAAAGGGAAAUAUCCUCUCUUUAGGUUUAGAGGUAUAUGAAGUUAUGGAGAAGAUAGCUGAGGGAGGUUUUGCGAAAAUAUAUCUUGUUGAAGACAAUGAGCUUGACCUGGGAACAAGAAUGAUGGACGGAGAAUCAAGUGUCAAAUCUACUCUGGCUAUCAAGGUUGAAGAGCCUGCCCAGAAAUGGGAGUUUUAUAUCUGUAACGAGCUUCACAAUCGACUGUCAAAGUUGAAUGAUCCUGUAGAUGUGAGACCAAGUGUAAUGCAGAUAAUCAAUGGAUUUUUCUUCGAGAACGGAAGUAUCUUAGUCACCGAGUAUCAGCCCCGAGGAACCUUGCUGGAUUUGGUGAACAAGUGUAAGAAGAAGAAUCUGCAGUCUGAAGCGAUUAUUCAGCAUCUAGAACCUGUGAUGGCAUUCAUGACAAUAGAACUACUACACCUCAUAGAGAAUAUACAUAAAUGUCACAUCAUACACGGUGAUAUCAAGCCUGACAACUUCCUUGUACUACAGUUCCCUCGUCUUCCAGUGAGUACAGAUCCUUUGGUAGUGUUCGGAGGUACCAGCAGGUUUGUUCAGUUGAUAGACUUUGGACAGAGCAUAGAUAUGUCCAAAUACCCAGCAGGUACAACCUUCCUGACCAAAGUCAACACACAGUGCUUUCAGUGUAUAGAGAUGAAAACGAACAGACCCUGGACAUACCAGACUGACCUGUUUGGACUGGCCGGUACAAUCCAUGUGAUGAUAUUUAAUCAGUACAUGAAAGUUUACCAGGAAGGUGGAAUCUGGAAGAUGACGUCCAAAUUCACCAGAAAUUGGAAUUCUGCUUUGUGGAAGAAGUUAUUUCAUCAGUUACUGAAUGUACCGAGCUGUGACGAGCUUCCAGACAUUGCUGCAAUAAGACAAGAGUUUGAGAACUACUUUGUUAAUGACUUGUUACAGAAAUACAAUACGCAAUGUGGAUCGUUUAACAAAACUAUUGCCAGCCAAUGAUUGGCUGUCAGUUCUGCAUAAGCUUUUAUACUGCGAAAUCAUUAAACUUUAACCUGCUGGCGGCGGGAUUUUGCCUUUGUGACCAGUGCGGAGCAACAUCUAUGCAGACUGAUCAUGGUCUGUACGGUUUGUAAUUCAGUCAAUAAAUUUUCAGUGAACAAACCUUUAAAUAAUAAGUGACACUUCCCUAAUUGAACGAUGGACAAGUCCAUUUUAGAAAUUUACCAGGGUAAAGGUUAAUAUUUGUUGGGGUAUUCCAUGGUUGAGUGAAUCCACAAAAUAAAAUCCCAAUGAAAAAGUAAAAUUCCUACGCAUUUUAUAUUCAAAAUUAGAAACCCACAAUUUUAUACUUCCACGAAAUAGCCAUUCUGGUACAAACAAACGGAAUUUUUUUUCAAGUAAAUUUUAAUGAUUUCAGAGUAUAGUUACUUGAAGUUUGUUGAUAGUUUACUUCACAUGAUACGGUUUUGUACAGAGUAUUAUUAGUUAGCAGAAUAGAAUAAAUGCAUAUUGACUACAAGAAUAUUAUGGGCUGUGCUACAGAACAAAAUGGUAGAAAAUGAUACUACAGGUGUUCAUUGUCCAAUUAGAAUAAUCUAUUUGCAGCAAAAUUGUUCAUUAGGUCUUGUUUGUGUUGAGUUCAUGUUUUCACAGUUGUGGUUUUUCACAGGGAACAUUUAGAUAAAAACAGGGCAUGUGGAUUGAUAUUAAGAUUAGAAGAAGGCAUUCCUUUGACUAUAAUUAAAGACGUUUCAAAGAAAAUAUAAUCUGAUUGUUUUGCUCUUGUUAUUAUUAUUAUACCAGAUUUAUAUAGCGCCCAAAUUAAUAGCAGACUCAGUUGGAUUGAGACUGUCCAUGUGUGGUAAUGAAAUGUGCAACACCACUCAUGCCCCAAGCACCAGCUUUAGUGGAAUUCAGUAACAGUGUAAUUGAGUGUACUCCAUGAAAGUAAGAAAAUAUAACAACACUAAGUCCAAGUACAUGGAGACUUUUUACAGCCGCCACAUGGUACUUACAAACUGCUGUUGUGAUAAGUGUAAGACUCAGUUUAAGACUUACAACAUUAAUGAAUGCAGGCCCUGGAUUUUUACAUACUUUAUUGUGAACACUUGGUUAAUUGAAAUUUACCUUUUAGAUUUUCGGUUUAGUGUUACAUGUAUGAUAAGGCUUAAUUUUUAAAGUCUCGGAUUGCAUGACAUACGUUUGCAUAUGGCAGUGAAAUGUAUUGAAAAUACAUGUACAUUAUAUUAAUUUAUUUACAUUAUAAAACAUUCCUAUUGAGAAAUAUUAAUCUAUAUGUAAAUAAACUAAUUUAUGUAUAUCAUUUUCACAGCAUACAGUCACAUCUGUAUUAAGCAGCCACUCAAGGGAGAGGCACAGUCUGGAUGCUUAACCCUUACCCUGCUAAAUUUCUAUAGUGAACUUGUGCAUCUUUCAAUUUGGACAGUACCAUUAACUGUUAAAAGGGGUGCUAACCAAAAAGAUACUGACUGAAUGGCGAACAGUGCAGAUCAUGAUCAGACUGCUUGGAUUACACUGGUCGCAAAAGCAGAAUCAUUCGUGUCCAGCAUUAUAAGGGUUCUGGCAGAUGGCUGCUUAAAGGGUUGUUAAUCAGAUUUGAUCAGGUAAUGGAUUUGAUUAAAAGUUUAACAUAUGGUUAUUUAUGCUUAUUUGUGUUCAUUGUCAAUAAAUUUGAAUGCUUACUACAUGUUCGAUUUUAGCUGGCAGUAUUUCUAAAAUUUUGAUUUCACUAUCCUGUUUGCUUAACAACAAUAGAGUUAUUUUAGCAUAUGUUUAAAUUUGAUAAACAUACUUUGCCAAAGGAAUGAUAAGUUAAGAAUUAUUGUAUUAUAUUUGUCAAAGAUUAACAUGAACAAUUAUUUAUAUUUAGCCUAAAUUCAUGAGAAAUGCCGAGUUUGUAAACUUAAUAAUACCUUUGAUUGAUUUGAAAUCAAUGAAUCAGGAAGCUACACACUAUUUACCAUUUUAUUCAGAUUAUUGCAAUAUCUCAAUAUCUAUCAAAUGCAAAUGUAAAACUAGUGAUUUGGUUGAAAUCAAAUAAAAUAGUCCAUUUUUUUUAAUACUUUCAUGUUAAAGGGGAGUAAUUACAAAAUUUCACACACAAAAAAAGAGUGAAAAGACAUAUAUUUCUAAUUGGGAUCUAAGUCUAUGUAAUGGGUCUUUUUGUUCAUUAAAUAAGUCUUACAGAAUACACUAAAAAUGAAAAAUGUCAUUAAAUGUUGCCUAAAUGUGACUGAGCACCUUUAAGACAAGUUGGAAUUAGAACAAAAAGUGUAUUUGGGAAGUUAUCCAUCUAGCUGCUUAAGACAAGUGGUUGAUUACUACAGAUGGCCACAAGACAGGUUCCACUGUACUUUCAGUUCUUGCUAGACAAUUGAUUCUUUGAAUAAUUUGCAGCCCUUGGCAAACAAAAAACAUGCCAUUAUAGCACCGAGUGUUUAAACUGAUAUUUAUACAAAUAAAUGAUUAAAUAUAAAAUUUUAUCUUGAGUUUGAACACUUAAAUUUACAUUUCAAGAUUUAUUGUCUUUCAAGUGAAAUAAGGGUGUUACGGUAAUAAUUAUAAAAUUGUCAUCAGGGAAAGUAUGUUAUAGAAAAUGGAAGUGAUAAGUUGAGAAUAAACCCAUACAUGAGGGGGAAAAAACUAGGGAUAAAAGCUGAAAUAUUCGAAUAAGUGAUGUUUUAAAUUGACAACCAAGAUAACCUUUUGGCCUUAGUUACAGAUAUUUUUGAACUUACAGUUAACCUAUUUUUGAAUGCUUUUGUUACUGGGCCCACCUGGUUAGUUUGGUAGGUAAAGCCCUAGACUGUAAAUCAAAAGGUCACAAGCUUGAUCCCUGGGUUGGUUUAUGCUCUGUAUGGCAUUUUGAAGAAAACAAAGUGUUUAUAGUCAGUCACCUCAUUUGUCAAUUACUUGCAAAGGUCAAGUCAGUACUGGUAUAAUAACUGAGCACAAUGCUAUGUAGCUGAAAUACUGUAGAAAAAUAAAUGGUCUGGAUUAGAAAAAGAAAGAAAAAAUUACACAAGUUUCUAUAACUCUUUUGAUGAGAUUAGUAAAUACUUUGUUGUCUAAAAUAGCUAUUUUCAAGAUUCAGUAUAGUAAUAUAAGAAAGUGUUAAAGGGUUGUGCUUGUUCUUUGUUCUGAAACAGAAAUUCUGGUAACAGUUAUGUUUGCAGUAAAAUAUGUGAUAGUGGUAAUCAUUAACUGUUUCGUUCAUACUGUUUAAAGCUGCUCACGAACAUUCGGGGAGAAUAUUUUGAAGUUUCUUAUGUACACAAGUCUGAUGGAAAAUCAACCCCUGAAAUUGAGAAAUAACAAAAUAAGCAAAAUCUGGUAUCAAAACGUUGUUGUUGUUGUUGUUGAUUUUGGCUUUUGGCGACUUUUCAAGCUUUUGGUAGUGAAAGAAGACCCCAGGUGCCUCGCCAUGCAUUGUUUCAGGGAUGGACAGGAACCUGGUUAGAACCACCAACCUUCCCUGUCAAAAAUUAGUGAAACCCUCACUUAGCAUACUGCUUUCAUCCACCAUUUCAAAAGUGUCUGACAGUUUACUCUAGUUGUAUGUUUGCUUUUGUGCUUUCAAAGGAUCAUUUGCUUAAAAAGAUAAAGUUUGUGCCAAAUGCCACUAUUUAUGAAGUACAUUCUUAUACAAUUUUUUGGAGGACCAAGUUUUCGAGUGGUGCUAAAAAAGGUGAAUGAAACAGUUUAAAAUCAGUUAACAAAAUAAAUACAGUACUUCUUGAAAAAUUUUAUAUAUACUUUUGUAUACCGUAUUGUGUUCAGUUAAGAUGCAAUAUGCCAAAUGUGUUCAGAUGUUUUAUAAAUUUACGAAUUACCAAAUAUAUGUGUAAAUAUGUGUAACAAUUGAUGAAUAAUUUUGUCACAAAUGUAGAUGAAAACCAGGACAAGAGUCUACAUGAAAAACCUGUUGACCUGUAGAGAUGAAUGUAGUAUAAGACCAGUUACAGUGUUGCAUGUUUUCCAUGGUUUAAAGCUACUUGCCGAGGAAUGCAGACAAAAUCUCCUCUGUUUAAUUUGACCAAAUUGGACACAAUUUUCGCUUGGAUUUUUUUAAAAAUUAUAUCAAGAUUUUAACUUUAUUCCUUUUAGAAAAAUUAUAAUUAUUAUCUUAAAAAAUAUAUCUUUUUUUUUUUUAAAUUACUGUUCCCAUUUUUCAUUUCAAAGUUUUUAUUUAACAAAAUCAAGGUGGUGGGGGCGUGUUGUCUUGCCUUGGUCAAGUUGAGCAGGAGGAUUUUGUCCUAAUUUCACUCGCCAACAAUUUGGGUGAAAUUUUUCAACAUGUUCAUUUCCACCAAGUUGGGCAUAGAAUGUAUAUAUGACAUUGAGAAAUAGUAAUGUGAGUGAAAAAUAAGUGUUGGAUUUUGUUGUUGUUGUGUUUUUUUUAAAACAAGAAUAUGUUGAUUUUCUCCAUUUUUUCAAAAGUGUGGCAAACGUUAAUUGGUAUGAUAUCUUGCAAAAUAUUGUGUCAGUAAGUUUAUGCCACUGGUUAUUUUUGCAGUAGCCACAUUUCGUGGAUUUUUUGAGAGAGAAAAAAUUUUAAUCUAAAAUGUGCGAAUGAGUGGCUUUCAUAUAUGAAAAAAUGAACUAAAAAAACAUGCAAGUUGUUUGUUCUGUUCAGCUAGAUAUUUUUAUCAUAAUUUAGUUAUUGAGCAUGUUUUGUGAUUGACUAUCUAUGGCUGUGUAUUAUGUGUUCUUGCUAUUUUUUGGAAAAUAAUGCAUAUGUGUGCAAGCAAAGUAAAAGUACAUGUAUAUAAUCUAUAUGUAAACAUAAUACAAGUUAUGUACCCUGAAUAUAGUAAUUUAUUUGUAAAAAAAAAAAGAUUUUGGAUAAUUACCAUGUGAUUAUUCAAGUUUUGCUGCAUGAUUUGGAAAAGUGCACAGAAAAAAAUAAAUAGAAAAUGUCAAGA
rnacentral:misc_RNA from 1 species